UACGGAGGGUGCAAGCGUUGCUCGGAAUUAUUGGGCGUAAAGGGUAGGUAGGUGGUCUUAUUUGUCUGGGGUGAAAUCCUUGAGCUUAACUCAAGAAGUGCCUCAGAAACGGUAGGACUAGAGUUCUAGAGAGGGUCGUGGAAUUCCCGGUGUAGCGGUGAAAUGCGUAGAGAUCGGGAGGAACACCAGAGGCGAAGGCGGCGACCUGGAUAGAUACUGACACUAAACUACGAAAGCGUGGGGAGCAAACAGG
rnacentral:rRNA from 1 species